CUGAUUUUAAAUCAUCUCCUCUGAUGUCAGGUCUCACAUCCCGGUCACACUGAUGCAAGAGGUGGGUUCCCUUGGUCUUGGGCAUCUUCGUCCUGUGGCUUUCCAGGAUACAGCCUCCCUUCUGGCUCCUUUCACAGGCUAGCAUCGGAUGUCUGUGGCUUUUCCAGCUUUUAACUAGAAUUGGAACUGAGAAGAAACAGCUUUUCCAAAGAUCCUUGUGUGACUGAAUUGCAGAUGAUGGGCUCAAGUCACUCCCCAAUAGGAUGUGUUCUUCCAGGCCCUUGGCCCAUCACUCACCCAAGAAUGGGGGAGAGGACCCACCAGGCAUGUUUACUGAGAGCCUAUUACUGUCAAGCUGUGGGGCAGACACUAGGAACAGAGGGGCGAAGAAGAUUCUCACCUCACAGAAGCAAGACUGGUAAAUAAGUUUUGGAGAUGGAGAUAAAACAGAAUCAAUUAAAGAAGAAGAAAAGGAAGAGGAAAAUCUCCCAAACUGAUCUGUGUUCAAUGUUCCUUUGAACUUUCUCUCCUACUGUACUCUUUAUAUUUUAAUGACUCGCGUGUUCGCCAUUUAUGCAGGAACAUACCCUUAAUGUGCUCAGCAGCACUGCGUAUCUUCCAUACAUGAGACAGACCACCCAGCAAAAUACCAACCUAAUUUGGAGUUUAUGAAGUAUUAUCCAUUUGUCUAAAAUGUACUGUAUUAAAACUUAUAAU
rnacentral:lncRNA from 13 species